rnacentral:rRNA from 1 species
UACGGGAGGGGCAAGCGUUGUUCGGAAUCAUUGGGCGUAAAGGGCGCGUAGGGGGUUCUGUAUGUCUGACGUGAAAGCAUACAGCUCAACUGUAUUUUGUCGGUAGAAACUGCAGGACUUGAGGCUGGGAGGGGCUGGUGGAAUUCCCUGUGUAGCGGUGAAAUGCGUAGAGAUGGGGGGGAACACUCGUGGCGAAGGCGGCCAGCUAGACCAGUUCUGACACUGAGGCGCGACAGCGUGGGGAGCAAACAGG